rnacentral:rRNA from 1 species
AUUGAACGCUGGCGGCAGGCCUAACACAUGCAAGUCGAGCGGAGCGGCGGACGGGUGAGUAAUGCCUAGGAAUCUGCCUGGUAGUGGGGGAUACCGUCCGGAAACGGGCGCUAAUACCGCAUACUAUCAGAUGAGCCCAGAUGGUAUUAGCUAGUAGGUGGGUUAACGGCUAACCUAGGCGACGAUCCCUAACUGGUCUGAGAGGAUGACCAGCCACAAUGGAACUGAGACACGGUCCAGACUCCUACGGGAGGAAGAAGUGGGGAAUAUUGCACAAUGGGAGCAAGCCUGAUGCAGCCAUGCCGCGUGUGUGAAGAAGGCCUGCGGGUUGUAAAGCACUUGCAGCGGGGAGGCGUUACCCGCAGAAGAAGCACCGGCUAACUCCGUGCCAGCAGCCGCGGUAAUUC